AAGUCGUAACAAGGUAUCCGUAGGUGAACCUGCGGAUGGAUCAUUAACGUCAUUUUAUAUAACUGAUUAAAGGAUGGUGUUAUAGGACAUGGUUAUUAAUGAUCGUGUCCUAUAGUGGCAUUCCUAUUAAUCAAUUAUAAUAAUACAACGUAUCCACCCAUUGUGGUGAUUAUAGGAAUUAUUUAGCGCGCGAGUAGUAAUAUAGUGGUGGUGAUGAUGAUGCAUAGUCUUUGUUAUCACACGGUUAUUGUUAUGACGCGCUAGAAUGAUUAUAUAUAAACGCAUUGUUUAACCUUUAUUAAUACUAAAGUUUACCUUGUGAGCAGUGAUGAUUACUAUUAUAUAGCGAUCGUUAAUAUGCUACCAAGUAAAACAAUUAAUAAAUCUUAAUACAACUGCUAGCAACGGAUCACUCGGCUCUC
rnacentral:misc_RNA from 1 species